rnacentral:rRNA from 1 species
UACGGGGGGGGGCAAGCGUUGUUCGGAAUUACUGGGCGUAAAGGGCUCGUAGGCGGCCCACUAAGUCCGACGUGAAAUCCCCAGGCUUAACUUGGGAACUGCGUCGGAUACUGGUGGGCUUGAAUCCGGGAGAGGGAUGCGGAAUUCCAGGUGUAGCGGUGAAAUGCGUAGAUAUCUGGAGGAACACCAAUGGCGAAGGCAGCUCGCUGGGACGGUACUGACGCUGAGGCGCGAAAGCGUGGGGAGCAAACAGG